AACGAACGCUGGCGGCAUGCCUAACACAUGCAAGUCGAACGAAGGCUUCGGCCUUAGUGGCGCACGGGUGCGUAACGCGUGGGAAUCUGCCCUUGGGUUCGGAAUAACAGUGAGAAAUUACUGCUAAUACCGGAUGAUGACUUCGGUCCAAAGAUUUAUCGCCCAAGGAUGAGCCCGCGUUGGAUUAGCUAGUUGGUGAGGUAAAGGCUCACCAAGGCGACGAUCCAUAGCUGGUCUGAGAGGAUGAUCAGCCACACUGGGACUGAGACACGGCCCAGACUCCUACGGGAGGCAGCAGUGGGGAAUAUUGGACAAUGGGCGAAAGCCUGAUCCAGCAAUGCCGCGUGAGUGAUGAAGGCCUUAGGGUUGUAAAGCUCUUUUACCCGGGAAGAUAAUGACUGUACCGGGAGAAUAAGCUCCGGCUAACUCCGUGCCAGCCGCCGCGGUAA
rnacentral:rRNA from 1 species